UAUCAAGCAGCAGGGGGAGCAAGAUGGAAUUUCAGACUCAGGUACUCAUGACCCUGCUGCUCUGGGUAUCUGGUGCCAAUGCUAAUGUCAUGAUGACCCAGUCUCCAACUUCACUUGCUGUAUCAGCAGGUGAGAUGGUUUCCCUCAGCUGUAAGUCCAGUGAGAACCUUUAUUCAAGCACAUACAAGGAGAACUACUUGGCUUGGUACCAAAAGAAAUCAGGGCAAUCUCCUAAAUUGCUGAUCUUCUAUGCAUCCCAUAGAGCAUCUGGGGUCCCUGAUCGCUUCAUAGGCAGUGGAUCUGGGACAGAUUUCACUCUCACCAUCAGAAGUAUGCAGGCUGAAGACACGGCAGAUUAUUACUGUGCGCGGCAUUAUAGCUCUCUUCCCACAGUGCUUCAGCCUCUUACACAAACCUCCUUGAGUGUCUCACCAGCUGCUGAUACCACACACAGCCCUGGCCUUGCCCACUUCCCCUUCUGCCUGAGAGUUGGUGUGCCUGAGAAAUAGAUGAGACCAGUAAAAAUGUGUUUAAUGUCUCAUGCCUUUUCAUAUUUAAAAUCUUUGUAUAAAAAUGCAAAUAACAACUCAGUAUUGUCUAUUAUUUUUGUAACCUUACCACAAACUUCUCUGCUUGA